GCCGCAAUAGCUCAGCUGGUAGAGCAACGCAUUCGUAAUGCGUGGGUCCGGGGUUCGAAUCCCUGUUGCGGCACCA
rnacentral:tRNA from 1 species